CAGCCGCCGCGGUAAUACCGGCGGCCCGAGUGGUGGUCGCUAUUAUUGGGCCUAAAGCGUCCGUAGCCGGGCCCGUAAGUCCCUGGCGAAAUCCCACGGCUCAACCGUGGGGCUUGCUGGGGAUACUGCGGGCCUUGGGACCGGGAGAGGCCGGGGGUACCCCUGGGGUAGGGGUGAAAUCCUAUAAUCCCAGGGGGACCGCCAGUGGCGAAGGCGCCCGGCUGGAACGGGUCCGACGGUGAGGGACGAAGGCCAGGGGAGCAAACCGGAUUAGAUACCCGGGUAGUCCUGGCUGUAAAGGAUGCGGGCUAGGUGUCGGGCGAGCUUCGAGCUCGCCCGGUGCCGAAGGGAAGCCGUUAAGCCCGCCGCCUGGGGAGUACGGCCGCAAGGCUGAAACUUAAAGGAAUUGGCGGG
rnacentral:rRNA from 1 species